UUCAGUCAGUUUUGUUGACAAAUUCAGUUAAAUUAAAUAUUUAGCACACAUUAAACUUGGGUAAUACAUAUUUUUCGACGUUUUUGAGCAUUUCAAAUACGCCAUUUCAAUUCGUCACAUCAUAAUGAUUGAAUAACUCGUUUCCAAUCAAACGUACAAUACUAAGUUUAAUAAAAAUCGCUUUCUUAAUUUUAUCCAGAGAAAAACAUCUAUAGCCUCAAUAGAUUGAGGGCUCAGUGUAGGAAAGUGGAUCGUGAAAAGUUUGUAAACAUUUUUUAUCCUCGGUUGCGAUGGAAAAGUACGUCACGUUGUCGCAUGUGUGAACCAGCCCAGUGCCUCAAAAAUCGUGCGCAUCGUGCUCCAAUAUGGCGGAUUGCAUUUGACGUUACCGUUCCAAGCCAUUAGAGCGAAAGAGAGCGUGAUCUGUACGCUCGUUUCUGAUAAUCAAAAGAUUCUCCUUCUCGCUCUUUCAUUUUUUCGGCUUAGAGCAAAUGCGUUUUUGUUUUCUUUUUUUUCGUGCUGAUGAACUUGAGCAGCUAGAGCAACCGAAAAAAAACCAUUGUUUGUUGUGUGGUGGCAUUUUUUCUCAAGCCGCAACGUAACAUUAUUUAAUUCGCGGCCUCGAGGAAUACCGGGAAUACCAGGUUCUCGAUGGCAACGCCGGCCAUUGUGAAUUUAAACAGAAUUUCCGCGUACGUAACAGUCAGUACCGAUCUGAACAUUAUGUUCCGGCAACGGUGCCAGGUCUUGUCCUGUCAGUGUAAAGUUCUGAGGCUGCAGUUUGCUCAUGUAUCAAAAAUGGCAAGCCGGAUUAACAAACUAUUCAAAACACUGAAGACUGGUGUUUCAAAACUUAUCGGGAAAGGCUCCGAGGAAGCCAAUGAGGUGCAAAACGCGGCAUACAAUACAUUGGCUCAACUGGCUAUCGUUUGUCCGACUGUGAAUACGAUGUCCAACUCGUUUCUUCCUAUUUUGAUCAUCUGUCACAGGAACCGGUCUAAUUGCAUACGCCCGAUAAGAGGCGCCUUUGGUAGGGCUCAGGCGAUUUUCGACUGGAGGAAGCAACCAAAAGUUCCUGGCGAUACCGUACUGACUAAGGGAGAAAAGGACACCGUCAUGAUGACAGAGGACGAUUCGUCCCGCAUUCCAAUCAAAAGUGUUGUAAAGAUUCUGUUCCGUCGAGGUAUUUGUGGAGAAAGUGCUCAGUUGAAGGAAAGGAUGACAACCUAUUUGUUUGGAGUUUCCAAGAAAGAACAUCCAAACUAUGGGUCAACUCUUUUGACAACUGUAAACAACCGACAGAGAAGAAUCAGUCCAAAAAUCUGUUCUCAACUACUCAUGAACCAUAAUGGAUUGUGCUUCCGUGUUUCAAGGGUACGGUUGAAUGUGUUACUAUGAAGUGAGGUUUACUUAUAGUUUCUAUAUUAUCACAAAAUUUUUGGAUUACCAUCGACUCUGCCUGCUGGUGUCAACACUCAUCCCGAAGAGGAUAAAAAAAAUGCUCAAAUUGGCAGCCUUCUUGAAGUUAAUUGCCGAAAGCGGUAUUGAGGAUGUUAUUUGGACAGACAACAACCUUAUUAGAAGGGUGCAUUACUGGUAGAAAAGAAAUUACCGAGCUGACCUGUUUUCGAUUUGGUCAGUAUCCCUAUUGGCUAGAGAAAACAAAGAAUUUAUACGUUGGGAUCUUCGCUGAAGGAAAUCUCCGAACCGAUCAGAGCACUGUUUGUGAAUGUAUACUUAUACGAUGUGCUUUUGGUCUUGGAAUGUGACGAGCAGGAGCUGGAGGCGCAAAUCAAGGAGCUGCUGGCUCUGACAAUAAAUCUGGAAAAUCGGGAUCGUUCCAUUAUAGCGGCUCUCAAUAUCAUCAAACAAUGACAAUGGUAAUCGAUGCUUCAAUCGGUCUGUAUCAAAAAUGUUAGUUUCUACCACAAAACUGCCGCACAGCGCGGUGAAGGCACCGAGGAAAUGAAAACUGAUCAAGGUGAUGUAAACACGAAAGCUCCUAUGUUGAAAGUCCAUAGCACUUCUGCAGAGUGGUCAUACCAAAGCUACAAUCCGAGAGGAUGUUACAUUGUUUAGGCUAUCUGGUUAUCGGCGAUGAGAAUUUUUUUUGCUAAACGGUGAUUUAAGGUUUUUCUGAUUCUGCUGAAGUUGACCAAGGAUCCGACUAUUGCCAUGGUUUAAAUUAUGCAAUCGUGUGGAGAAUGUCAAGCGGAUCAAGAUUCGAUAGGAAAUAUUAACGAUGAUAUACUUAUUUAAAACGCUUGUACCAUCUGGUUGUUUGCGAUGAUCAGAAUUUGCAGCAAGCGCAAGUCGGUGGAGAAUAAAACAGAUUCUGCAGCUGGCAUUCACUGAUUUACUCUCAAAGGAUAAUGGAUGUGGCAUCACGUGGUUUGGGAAUGAUGUGCUCAAUUUCCAUGAAUGGCAGGCAGGAAAAACUGCCGAAUUAGUUGUUGGUCAACUAGACGACUUGUGCAAAAAGAAGACACUAAGAUUUUCGAGGAAGGUGUACUGAGGAUGGCACCUAGUGGGUGUUGAACGUGAUCAUGGAAUUCGGUAAUUUAUUCGUUUUCGUGACACUUAUUCAGGACUUUUUUUGGUAGAAUUGUUUACACCUGAUCUCCAUAAUAGUCCACCCUGGACACUAAUCCAGACUCAUUAACCUGCCCAGAAACCAGUGUCAUGCAAACUCGUUCGAGUCCAAAUGCUUUCCGAGUUUCAAAGUUUUGCGAUCGUCUAAAUAUUUCAAAUUAAUGCACAAACCGUCGUGUUUUUAUAUCCUUGCAUUAUGGAAAUUGUACAAAACUCGGAAGGAUACGACCAGCACCGAGCUAUAGGACAAUUAGUAGUGGUCGAAAAAUGCAAGUGUUACUCCGGAGCUCCUAUUGAACCACUAAUAAUCUAAUCGUUGCACAAUUAUUUCGUGGUUAAUUUGUGUGGAAAUGAACCACAACGGCAGCCGAUACACAUCGUUCGUCUUUGCUAGUGGAGGGAUCGCUGGCAGCGGCGGUGCCCGAGGGGAACUGAGCAGUGGAAAUUUGAGCAGAAAGCUGAGUAGUCCGAUGGCAGAGUCGACACAGCUGGACAGCAGCGGUAUCCGGGGGAAUCUUUACGACAGUCCGGUACGACAGGUUGGAGUUGGGAAAAGAAGCCUACCUCUCCGUUGCAAAAUAGCAGGACAAAUUUUAGAAGCAGCUGAACGGCGUCCGGGUCCAGUAUGGAUCGAUUGAUUGAUCCUAAGAUUUACACGGAUGUUCAGAGCCGAGGAUUGGUUAACCGGUUGGUAACGUACCACGAUAAAACGCAAUCGCCGUUAAAUGGGAAUCAAUCGAUGACUAGCCUGUACUCGAAGCCGGGUCGAUUUCCUGUGUGGUGGAGGAGAAACAAUUCUUCGAUAGCUACCAUUGGUUCGGAUUUCCCCGUCAGAGAAGUCCGUGUUUAAGGCUGACACAAGGUGGAACAUUUUACGGGAGGGAUCGUUGCUCAUUCCGGCGGAACCUCAUCUGAAGAUGGUCCGAACACAUAGACACGAGGAUGAGAUUGAUGCGGAAAAUAGUGUGAUUGCGCCUUCAACAGAACUGGAUGCCGAUUGGAUUAAGAAACAAUGUAAGGAACUAUCGGAGGUUGAUUCAGGCGAAGCUGGUACGAAGCAAGCUCGGAAAAUUACAUACACGGCUUCACAUCCGUGUCGAGGGUCGGCGAAUCAGCAGCUGCAGACGAAGAAAUUAUGUAGUAAAAAUAAUAUCUCAAGUUCACUUAGCUCGAGCCUGGUGAUGAACACUCCGAAAGUAGAACACGUAGCGCACCGACCGGCACGAUUAAAUGUGGAUGUCUUUCUCGACGCCGGCAACAUUGAAUGCGACGGUUCCAGUUAGCAUGAUUGAAUCGAGCAAACCGGCAAAAUUAAGUAGGAUUGAUUCCGCUCCUUUGCCACAGAUUACGAGAAUUGUUCCGGAGUUUCAACUGCCUCUGAUGGAAUAUCCGCCACUAAAACUAACGUUAACAAGAAAUAUAACGUCCAUGACAUGACGAAACGGUGGUUCGACCCACGUCCACAGACAGUGAAGAUAAGGAUGAUGAUGAUAAAGUAGGCGGACGAAUCAGUUUCAUUAAGCCAAAGAUAAAUCGCCUAUGCCAAGGUUGUUUUGAAGAGGUUCGAGCGUUCGAAAUCAUCGUUGAUUCUGAGCUGCUUGAGUGAUGAUUUUGAUGAAGACGAGGAAUCGCCUAUAGUUACGCCAUCGCAGGGUUCAUUUUAUACGAUAGACACCGCGGAUGCACCACCGAAGGUUGAAGAGAAGAAACGGCUUCCGUCCCGAUAAUGAGCGGUAUUUCAGCAAUAGUUAAUAGCCCGAGCAAGGAUCCUGGCCUAGGUAAAAUUGAUCCACCGAAACCGGUGGAAAAUGUAAAAACGAUAGAGCAACCGAAGUAAACCACGGGAUUUGCUUUCGGAAGUACAACUGCUACCGUCAGCUCGGCUCCGGUUACAGCACAUCAAUCCGAUACAUGAUUCGCGUUUGGGACGCCCACUUAACCGGUUACUGCUAAAAUCAAAUCAUCGAAAAUACCACGUAUCGUUUUCCUGUGCUUGGAUUUCGGUACGUACGGAAUCGGACGGCGUUUAUCGCCGAUACCAUUUUAUCGGAAAAUAAUGCGUUUCGAGGUAUUAAUCACACGCCUACAUCAAAAAAUUAUAUAAUUUGCAACUAAUAUUUUAAAAAGCC